rnacentral:rRNA from 1 species
AAAUACUACCCAGUGACCGAUAGCGUAUAGUACUGUGAAGGAAAGGUGAAAAGAACCCCGGGAGGGGAGUGAAAAGAACCUGAAACCUUGUGCUUACAAGCACACAAAGCACGUCAACGUGUGAUGUGGUACCUUUUGUAGAAUGGUCCGGCGAGUGAAUGUAACUGGCGAGGUUAAGUUCUUAAGGAACGGAGCCGAAGCGAAAGCAAGUCUGAAUAGGGCGUUUUAGUCAGUUGUAUUCGACCCGAAACCGGGUGACCUAUCCAUGUCCAGGAUGAAGUUAAGGUAAAACUUGAUGGAGGUCCGAACCCACGGUCGUUGAAAUGCCCGGGGAUGAGAUGUGGAUAGCGGAGAAAUUCCAAUCGAACCCGGAUAUAGCUGGUUCUCUCCGAAAUAGCUUUAGGGCUAGCCUCGACUGAACAUUACCGGAGGUAGAGCACUGAAUGGGCUAGGGGCCGAGAGGUUACUGAACCCUAUCAAACUUCAAAUGCCGGAAAAUGAUAGUCGGGAGUCAGACUGCGUGAGAUAAGUUUCGUAGUCGAAAGGGAAACAGCCCAGACCCACAGCUAAGGUCCCAAAGUACGGUUAAGUGGAAAAGGAUGUGGAGUUGCACAGACAACCAGGAUGUUGGCUUAGAAGCAGCCACUCAUUAAAAGAGUGCGUAAUAGCUCACUGGUCGAGUGACUCUGCGCGGAAAAUAUAACGGGGCUAAGCAUGAAACCGAAGCUUGGGCUUGUCGUAAGACAGGGGUAGGGGAGCGUCGAGUAUGGGGUGAAGUCAGAGCGGAAGCACUGGUGGACUGUAUUCGAGUGAGAAUGCCGGAAUGAGUAGCGAGAAUUAUGUGGGAAUCAUAAUGGCCGAAAAUCUAAGGUUUCUUGGGGAAGGUUCGUCCGCCCAAGGUAAGCCGGGAGCUAAGGCGAGGCCGCAAGGCGUAGUCGAUGCACAUACGGUAAAGAUUCCGUAGCCGCCGAACUUUAAGUCAGAGGGACACUUGCAGAUAGCGGAACCCAGCCGUUGGUUGAGCUGGGCGAAAGGGACUGAAAUUAGUAGGGAAGUCCGCGAUGCUGAAAGGCGAGAAAAGCUCUGAUGGAUACUAAGGCGCCCGUACCGCAAACCGACACAGGUAGAUGAGGAGAGAAUCCUAAGGCCAACGGGAGAAGGGUUGUUAAGGAACUCGGCAAAUUGACCCCGUAACUUCGGGAGAAGGGGUGCUCCAGAGAUGGAGCCGCAGAGAAUCGGCCCAAGCAACUGUUUACCAAAAACACAGGUUUGUGCUAAAUCGAAAGAUGACGUAUACGAGCUGACGCCUGCCCGGUGCUGGAAGGUUAAGAGGAGAUGUGCAAGCAUUGAAUCGAAGCCCCAGUGAACGGCGGCCGUAACUAUAACGGUCCUAAGGUAGCGAAAUUCCUUGUCAGGUAAGUUCUGACCCGCACGAAUGGCGUAAUGAUUUGGGCACUGUCUCAACAGCCCGCCCGGCGAAAUUGUAGUACUGGUGAAGAUGCCAGUUACCCGCAACUAGACGGAAAGACCCCAUGGAGCUUUACUGCAGUUUAAUACUGGGAAUCGGUAAUUCAUGUACAGGAUAGGUGGGAGACUGAGAAGCAUGGCCGUCAGGUCGUGUGGAGUCACCGGUGGGAUACCACUCUUGGAUUGCUGGUUUCCUAACCUGCGGCCCUGAAUCGGGUCGGGGGACACUGUUAGACGGGCAGUUUGACUGGGGCGGUCGCCUCCAAAAGAGUAACGGAGGCGCUCAAAGGUUCGUUCAGCACGGAUGGAAAUCGUGCACUGAGUGUAAACGCAUAAACGAGCCUAACUGCGAGAAUGACGGUUCGAGCAGUAACGAAAGUUGGAGUUAGUGAUCCGGCGGUAUGUGAAUGGAAAUGCCGUCGCUCAACGGAUAAAAGCUACCCUGGGGAUAACAGGCUGAUCUCCCCCAAGAGUCCACAUCGACGGGGAGGUUUGGCACCUCGAUGUCGGCUCAUCGCAUCCUGGGGCUGAAUUCGGUCCCAAGGGUUUGGCUGUUCGCCAAUUAAAGCGGCACGCGAGCUGGGUUCAGAACGUCGUGAGACAGUUCGGUCCCUAUCUGUUGCGGGCGCAGGAAUAUUGAGAGGAGCUGUCCUUAGUACGAGAGGACCGGGAUGGACGUACCGCUGGUGCACCAGUUGUUCUGCCAAGGGCAUAGCUGGGUAGCUAAGUACGGACGAGAUAAACGCUGAAGGCAUCUAAGCGUGAAACUCCCCUCGAGAUAAGUGUUCCCAUCCUUCGGGAGUAAGGCCCCUUGU